UCUAACACCCAGUCAAUCAAUGCUCAUGCACACACAUUAAUUCUCCCUUGUGGGGAGAGGCGCUUAGGAGACUGUUUUGGACUUUAGCAUCGGGUAGGGA